UACGAAGGGGGCUAGCGUUGCUCGGAAUUACUGGGCGUAAAGCGCACGUAGGCGGGCGAUUAAGUCAGGGGUGAAAUCCCGGAGCUCAACUCCGGAACUGCCUUUGAUACUGGUCGUCUAGAGAUCGGAAGAGGUGAGUGGAAUUCCCAGUGUAGAGGUGAAAUUCGUAGAUAUUGGGAAGAACACCAGUGGCGAAGGCGGCUCACUGGUCCGAUACUGACGCUGAGGUGCGAAAGCGUGGGGAGCAAACAGG
rnacentral:rRNA from 1 species